UACGUGAGGGGGCAAGCGUUGUCCGGAUUUAUUGGGCGUAAAGAGCGUGUAGGCGGCCAGGUAGGUCCGCUGUGAAAACUCGAGGCUCAACCUCGAGAUGUCGGCGGAAACCAUCUGGCUAGAGUCCGGAAGAGGAGAGUGGAAUUCCUGGUGUAGCGGUGAAAUGCGCAGAUAUCAGGAAGAACACCCGUGGCGAAGGCGGCUCUCUGGGACGGUACUGACGCUGAGACGCGAAAGCGUGGGGAGCGAGCAGG
rnacentral:rRNA from 1 species